rnacentral:rRNA from 1 species
CAAUAGUGUAUGCUAAAUUUGUUGCGGUUGAAAAGCUCGUAGUUGGAUCUAGGUUAUCGGCCGGCGGUCCGUCGCAAGGCGUGUACUGUUGGUCGGUUUCUUAUCACUGGUUUUCCGCCGGUGCUCUUAACCGGGUGUCGGCGGUGGCUGGUAAAUUUACUUUGAAAAAUUAGAGUGUUUAAAGCAGGCUGUUUGUCUGUAUAUCGAUGCAUGGAAUAAUAGAAUAAGACCUCGUAACUAUUUGUUGGUUUUUGGCAACGAGGUAAUGAUUAAGAGGGACAGACGGGGGCAUCCGUACUCUGCCGUUAGAGGUGAAAUUCUUGGAUCGGCGGAAGACGAACUACUGCGAAAGCAUUGACCAAGAAUGUUUUCUUUAAUCAAGAGCGAAAGUCAGAGGUUCGAAGAUGAUUAGAUACCAU